CUUCCCCACGCGCGCCGCCAUGGGCUCCCACCGCCGCCGGUCUCUCGACCAUGCCCGCGCACCAUCCGCCGCUCCCGCAUGACCCUGCUGGCCUCCCGCCCCCACGCGCUCAAAUCCUCUCCUCCGACUAGGUGCCCUCUCUGCUCGAACCCUCGUCCUCAUGGUGGGCACUGGUCAGAUCUCGGGGAAGACCGGUCUCAAACUUGCUGCAGAGGAGUACUGCCCUGUACUAGAAUAUCAUGAUGGCCAUGGCGAAGCAGUUCCUGUAGGCGUUGCUGCUCCUGUUGGCCAACCCCUUCCUGGCCUUUCCGGGUUGGGUUCCCGUGAGCGGCGUCAUCAGCUUAGGCACCAACCUCGUCUCCUCAAGGUUCUUGUCCCUUGAUGAACAAACCUAGCAUAUCGUUACUGAAUUUGGAGUUAUACACAUCAACAAGAGGAGGGAAAGAGACGGGCUUAUAGUGGUAUGAAAAAAAAGUUUCCUCCAUCGGUUGCAAAGGUGAGGCCAGAUAACAAGAGGUUAAUUAUGUUCUCAUCUCCAAUAUGUUUAGUGGUUACAUCAUGCUACUGUUCACUUUUUUCUCACCUCUUUAUACUGCACUACUAUGCACUGAAGUUGUUUGCUAAUUUACACAUUGAAUUGUUUUGGUUGAUAUGCUAUUUAUGUGUUUCCUUCCCCAAAUCCUUUUUCUAGUUGUAAAGGUUGUUGUUGCUAUAGCCUCAUGGAAAAAGAUUGUUUUUGGGUAAGCCAACCCAAUAUUUCUGGUCGUUGAUGCAUUUUGAUAAGUUUGAUGGUCCAGUCCCCAGUGAGGAAGAAAUCUUAGUCGACGACGCUGGUAGUGGCACUGGCUCCAGUGCCCCUGCUCUUGCAGCACUCGAGCAUAUUUUUAUCCGCAGCUAGAAAGGGGAGGAUGAAGGAAUUUUGCAGCUAUUAUGGUAUUCUGCAUACAUCCAGAUUCUGAACUUCUAUCAAAGAUGCAUGGCUAUUGUAUCCUCAAGACAAUAUAAAAGCUUUUGCAAUGAUAAUUUUUUUGCAGUUUCCUAAACUGAAUAAUCUUUAGAAUGCACGAAAGUCUUUUCAUAUUGAAUUGUAAUUCCAUUGAAACUUUCUCCUCCAGCCAUACACCAUUAGAAGAUAAAGACAGUAAGCUGGUUGCAGCAUCCAAAACACAUUCAGUUAUCCGAAGUAAAGCAUAUUCAUAUUCAGCAAGUAAACUAGCAAGCUCUCUUCUCUUUCUUACAUAUUUUAUAUUUACAAUCACAUGGAGGUGCUCUUAAGUGUAUGGAUCAUUAUCGCUGGGUUUCCCUGCCUUUCUUCCUGGUUCCGUAUUGAGAUUUGUAUGCAACUAUUUCAUCUUCCAUUAUGAACAUUAUCUUAUUUCAGAUUCAGCCAACAUGCAUGUAAAUACUAUGGCCAAUUGCAUUGUCUUCUAGAAUUAAUUAUGCACCAUGUCACACAAGCAUAUGACAGAUUUUUAGUCAUAGACCAUUUUGAUAAACAUUAUGAUUUUAAAUUUACAAGUGUGAGUGACCUCAUCCGAACAUAUUGCCAUCCAUUCCACAGAUUUGUACUCGCUUUGUUGUUUGGCACAACAGAAUUGUCAGUUUCCAAAAUGCAUAUACUUCUAUUUAUACUGACGUCUUGUAUGCUCACCUUAGAUGCCACCACACAAUUACAUCUUAUAAUUAUGAUUUCUUCUAGAAUUAAAUGGAACUACAUACUGAUUUCAACUUCUAAGUGACAUGUUUAUAUGCCUAUUUGACAAAUUCCCCUUCAAUCGAAAUGAAUAUAGGAAAUGGAGAGUUUACAGAGAGUCCGUAGGAGAAAUCUACAUGCCAUCAUUAGGAAUGAGGGAACAACCUAUGGUAUGGAAUAUUGAAGAGUGUAAAUUCUAGCUAUAUUUUCUUCUUCAUACACAUAUCUUUUUUGGGGGGUUCAUGCACAUCUUUUUCUUGGGAUCUUUAUGUUGUGCACUGAAGUCAUGUUGUGAAGUAUCACUUUGGAAUUAGCUUAUCCAAUUACUCGAUAUUUUUCACGAUGGGGAUUCAGACUGUUACUACCUCUGUCCCAAAAUAAGUGUCUCCACUUUAGUACAACUUGUAUAAAGUUAGUAGUAAGUUAGUACAAAGUUGAGACACUUAUUUUAGGACGGGGGAGUACUUAGUAUAUUUAAUGUUCUUCUUUUACAACCUAUCGGAGAUUGAAUGGAUGAAACACUAUUAUUGUCUUUAUGCAGCAAUGUGUCCAUGAUAGUUUUCACUUUUUAAAAGAUUCUACUUCCUCGUCUACUUAUAUCUCUUAUGUUAUCCUCUUGUGUUUUAUCUCUAAUUUAUCUUCCUGGUUACACCAGCUCCUUGUGUCUCCGCUCCCCCCUUGUGUGUUUAUGAUGGCAGCUCCGCAUCAUGGUGCGAGGCACCGGUGGCUGCAGUAGGUGUAGAUGACGAGGAAGAGCCAGCUUCGUGGCCUUGCUGCACCCACCUUAGCUUUUCAUUACUCCAUAUACGGACAUUAGGUUGAUGCUGCUGCAUAUACAAAUAAUUGGUUUGUUAUCCAUAGUUCUUCUACUUCAGAUUCGAUGCUAGGUGCCUUAGAGCUUAUACUAGAUGAUACAAAGGGGUUACCUAGCUUUCUUUCCAUGGGCAUACAUAUCUUCAUUUAUAUAGCAUAUUUUGUGGCCAAUAAUAUUUUACAGAAUUUUUGCUGACAGUUUGAAUAAAAAUGUCGUAAGAAUCUGGAUAAAAGAAAGUGGAAUGAAUAUAUAUGUAUAUUCCAUGGGCAGGAUAUCUAACAGGAACCAUUUAAAAUAUGAUGGUCGUAUUCUAUAACUACAAUUAAGGAGUAUUUUAGCACAUGUUGCUUAUAAAAUUCUUAUCUAGUUAUACUUAGAAUUUCUUUUGACAGCUCCUUUUUGUUUAUUUGUUUUUUAAGCACACAAAUCAGUGCAUUCUUGACAACCUCUUUCUCCCAUGCAGUGAACUGGGGAGGCAUCACAUAAAUUACAAAUAUUUUCGUUUUUCCUAGAUUUAUAGAAGAAUAGAAUGUUGCACGUUGCUUCUAUGGUGUAUCACCCAAUGUAUAGCUUCCUUGACUUUAUUUUGUUUUCAGCUAGUGGCAUGGUAUUCUGCCAUGUACCCCUGUCUUUAUUUACAGUUUGCAUGUCCAGUGAAAAGACUAAAUCAUUUACUCUGUUGCUCUUGGUCCAGUGAAAGACCAAAUCCAUGUGUAGUUGUUCUGGCUUUGUGGUGUGCAUCGUCUAGCUGAAAUAAUGAAAUGAUGUGAGAUUAUGUUGAGCUUGCUAGUGUGCUGCUUGUCAAUCCUGCUAUGCCGUUGUCUGCUGAAUUCUGGUUGUACAUCGAUGCAAAUGAACAUGGACACAACUUAUUCUAUACAUUUUAUUAAAAAUUCAAAUCGCUGAACAUGAUCACUUCCAUAUCUCUGAAAUUGUGUGCUUUUGGUUUCCAAUGGUAUUUGGUUUAUGUACACUGCAAGCCCCACGAUGCUAAUUGAAAUAUCCUUUAUCAUGUUGCAGAUGCUUAGCAAAUGCUUUUGCUGCUACCUGAUCAUAAUCAUCUAAUUUUUUACUCCUUUCAUUUCUAUAUGAAUGGCUGGAAGAGAGUUAUCCUGCAUGGGCACAUAGACCAGGAUACAUGUUACAUUGUAUCUCAGGAUAUAGCAACAGGAGGUGAGGUUUACAGGUUUACAGGAAACACAAAAGAGGGGAGCUAAAGGUACACAUCCUUCUAUUGUUUUGGAAGGGUACCCCUUUUCUCAUCAGUGAUAAUGAAUUCUCUUCAGCUGCUUUGAUGUUCAAGCUCGAAGAUGUUAUCCAAUGAGAUGAAGAAUGAAGGUUUUGAUGUCAAGUAUGAGAAUGAUGCAAGGAUCUGCAUCUUGGUGGAAGGAUGUGAGGAUGGGGCUGUAGUUUCCCACUAGAAGGCAGGCAAAUGAUGUGCCCUGAGACAAAUUGCCGAAAACAAAGCGAGGAGUUUAAUUAGUUACAUUAGUUUAUAGGAAACUUGGAUGGUCAUUAGUUCAUAACAGAUGAACUAUUUAUAUGUAAAAAUUAACGCAUGUGUGUUGUUUAUAUGUGAAUUGUUUGGUUCUGGUUCAA